CUUGCAAACCGAGAAUGUGUAUUGAACACCAAGAACUGCUAAUUCUUACUACUGAAGUUAAAAUCCUCA
rnacentral:tRNA from 1 species